rnacentral:misc_RNA from 1 species
AAAAAUUUAAAUAAUUUAUCAGCAAGUAUAUUGACUUCUUUUGAAAUAACUGUGAUUUGUAUUUGUAGCCAUUAGAAGUUUUACAUGCUUUUGCAAUUGUUAUCCUAUGAAUUGCAAAAGAAAAGGGCAUAGCCAAUGUGUCAACCAAUGACAGGCUAAUGUGAAUCUAUGAAAUUUAACCAUAUUAGCAUUACAAAAAGUGUCAAGUCUUUUCUUAACACGAGCUAGUUCGAUAAAUAAGUAAUCGAAUUAGCACUAAAAAAAAAAAAAAGACAAAAAGAGAGAAAUAUUUUAAGCAUAUACAAGGACUGUAACAGUGUAAAGAAGGAAACCUAUUGCACAGUAGAGGUGGAUCUUUUCUGCACUAAUGAUAAAAUGACAGUUACAUCAUCAAGCUUGCCGCCGGUAUAUCCUACAUAACCAGCCGCUUGGGCUGCAUCGGCGAAUGGACUUCUUAUGGAUGAUGACUGCCCCACUUCUUGAGCACUCGCGGCUAACAAUUCUGCUAUUUCCUGCAGCUUCAAACUAGCUUCCAGUGAUUUGGAGAUGAUUGAAGCUAUUUCUUGAUUGUAUAGAUUGUCAAAAAGGCCAUCUGUAGCAAUGAUGACAAUGUCACCCUCAUGCAGAUCAAUUUUAUAUUCCUCCACAAGUUCAGAGGGAUUGUCCCCCUUCUCUAUCUGUAAUGGAAAGUUGAACUCAUGCACCAUUGGAGAAGACUUCUUAAAAACAGUGCCAUUUCUUAUAAUGAGAAAUCCUGAAUCUCCAAUAUUAGCCACAUGUAAAGCCUGACCAUCAAAAUAAGCAACCAAAGCUGUGGAUGAUCCAAGAGAUUUUGUUUCCAUGGCAGCUUUAUCAAGAACUUGCACCGGGUUAGUUAUUAGGGUGCUUUUGCUAUAAACCACAAUUUUCCCACAGUUAUUUAUCAACUCUUGGGCAUAUAGUCCAGCAUUAGUUCCUUCAAGUGACCACUGUCCGACUCCAUCAGCAAUACCGAGCCAGUUUUUAUCAACAAAAUAUGCAUCCUCUCCACCUGUCAAUGCCUUAGAGGGAUGUGGCAGUGAUGCAGCACCACAAAACAUGAAAAAUCCCGACAUAGAGAUUUCCUCCCUAUUUAUAAAACAAAGCAAAGAAAUAUCAAGAGCAGAAUAACAGAACAUACAAUUUAUACAAAUAGGUUACCUCUCUUCUUCUACCUACUAGCUUUUUUGAGGUGGCCAUGAUUUGUGCUUUUUCCAUAUUCCAGAAAACAAUGGAAUAAUAACUGUAAAUUAAUGAAUUAAAAAAAAAUUGAAGAUUUUCCUAAAUUCAGUAUUAGAGUUUAGAAAUCUGAAAUGCCAAGAAAUUGUUCAAAAAGCAAUAGAAAAGUGCUAAGGGGUAAAAGUAAGAGAUUUUAUGGCAAGUCAUCUUAGCUUUCUGCACAAUAAUUUGCUCAAUUAGAAAUGAAAAUAAUGAGGGACAAUCUAAUCACUCAAAUCAGGAUGUACCAAAGAUUAACAAGUAAUUGCUCCCAUUGAAUACCAUAAAAUAAUCAGCAACAUGUUAUAUGAUAUAAUGACAAUUGCCCUAUUUAAGCACACCUCAAGUAAAGAUAUUAAAAUUCCAAAGACUAAGGGUUUGAUUGACAUUAUUGGUGGAGCUAUUCCUAAGUAAAACACCAUCUUGAAUAUAUUUAUGUUGAUUAGAGGGCAUUAUAUAUUGUUCUUACUUAAGGUCAAUUUUACAUGUUUUAGCUAAAAAAACUCCAAAAAAGCUAAUCAGCAAUUUCAAACUGCUCUUGCAAUAGCAUUGAAAAUAGUACCACAUAUACUAUAAAUUGCAAAGAUAGCCAUUCUGCAUAGAAGGCUAAGGACUAACAAUUUGGAGGAAUUGGAAGUACCGUAUCUGAGGGAAAAGGAGAUAGAAAGGAAGUUGGUGACAUACAUAGGCAAAGUAGCUACUCUCAUUUGCGAUUCUUCUACGUGAGGAACUGCCAUAUCUGCAUUAUUACUGCUGUAAUCUCCUCCAGCUAUCUCUUCAACCCAAUUUGAGGAAGGCAGAUUGCCUUCUAACUACAACAAAUAAUGAAACUACAUAUGGUGUAAACAAUUGUUUGCACAUGUGUACUAUGAAAAAUUUUGCAUGUGUUCUUUACAUUCACAGAUACCUGAGGCUUCCUAAUUCCAAACGAAAGUAUGCACAACUAGGAGAUAUGUUUUAGAAGAAUAAAAUCUAUUGUGAUAGUAGAACAUAAAAUCAUCUAGCAGGCUUACUUCUAAUAUUGGAGUCUCAUAUUAUGCAGCAAUCUUGAAAUGAAAAUUUUGAAAUUCUAAGAAUGGGUAGCAUCAAUGAUUAAAAGGGAAAAUAACAGCAUUUCACCCCAAAUUAUUGAAAUUCAGUCGCCAGUCAACAUGAACUUGUCAUGUAUAAACCAUAAACAAAUCAUCACAAGAAUGCAUAUACCAACUAAACAACUCUUCACAAGAGUACGAGGCAUGCAGCAUGAUGCGUCCCACAUCAGUUCUGCAAGGAGCUCUUGAGUGUUAUAUAUAUGGGUU